rnacentral:rRNA from 1 species
GACGAACGCUGUCGGCGUGCUUAACACAUGCAAGUCGAACGGAAAGGCCCUGCUUUUGUGGGGUGCUCGAGUGGCGAACGGGUGAGUAACACGUGAGUAACCUGCCCUUGACUUUGGGAUAACUUCAGGAAACUGGGGCUAAUACCGGAUAGGAGCUCCUGCUGCAUGGUGGGGGUUGGAAAGUUUCGGCGGUUGGGGAUGGACUCGCGGCUUAUCAGCUUGUUGGUGGGGUAGUGGCUUACCAAGGCUUUGACGGGUAGCCGGCCUGAGAGGGUGACCGGCCACAUUGGGACUGAGAUACGGCCCAGACUCCUACGGGAGGCAGCAGUGGGGAAUAUUGCACAAUGGGCGGAAGCCUGAUGCAGCAACGCCGCGUGCGGGAUGACGGCCUUCGGGUUGUAAACCGCUUUCGCCUGUGACGAAGCGUGAGUGACGGUAAUGGGUAAAGAAGCACCGGCUAACUACGUGCCGGCAGCCGCGGUGAUACGUAGGGUGCGAGCGUUGUCCGGAUUUAUUGGGCGUAAAGGGCUCGUAGGUGGUUGAUCGCGUCGGAAGUGUAAUCUUGGGGCUUAACCCUGAGCGUGCUUUCGAUACGGGUUGACUUGAGGAAGGUAGGGGAGAAUGGAAUUCCUGGUGGAGCGGUGGAAUGCGCAGAUAUCAGGAGGAACACCAGUGGCGAAGGCGGUUCUCUGGGCCUCUCCUGACGCUGAGGAGCGAAAGCGUGGGGAGCGAACAGGCUUAGAUACCCUGGUAGUCCACGCUGUAAACGGUGGGUACUAGGUGUGGGGUCCAUUCCACGGGUUCCGUGCCGUAGCUAACGCUUUAAGUACCCCGCCUGGGGAGUACGGCCGCAAGGCUAAAACUCAAAGGAAUUGACGGGGCCCCGCACAAGCGGCGGAGCAUGCGGAUUAAUUCGAUGCAACGCGUAGAACCUUACCUGGGUUUGACAUGGAUCGGGAGUGCUCAGAGAUGGGUGUGCCUCUUUUGGGGUCGGUUCACAGGUGGUGCAUGCCUGUCGUCAGCUCGUGUCGUGAGAUGUUGGGUUAAGUCCCGCAACGAGCGCAACCCUUGUUCACUGUUGCCAGCACGUUAUGGUGGGGACUCAGUGGAGACCGCCGGGGUCAACUCGGAGGAAGGUGGGGAUGACGUCAAGUCCUCAUGCCCCUUAUGUCCAGGGCUUCACGCAUGCUACAAUGGCUGGUACAGAGAGUGGCGAGCCUGUGAGGGUGAGCGAAUCUCGGAAAGCCGGUCUCAGUUCGGAUUGGGGUCUGCAACUCGACCUCAUGAAGUCGGAGUCGCUAGUAAUCGCAGAUCAGCAACGCUGCGGUGAAUACGUUCCCGGGGCU